AUGAAGCUUGUUCGACUUGAAACGGCACUGUACAGACCAUUAAAUUACCACAGAAGUAACGUUAUAGCCUACUACCACAAUGCGACCUCAAAGGGCACUUUCACUUUCGCGACGAAAGGGGCAGGGCUCUUUAUAUUCUCUCUGUAUAUAUUGUAUCAUUAACUGUAAAUUUUGUGUCCAUAUCAGAUAAAUAAUAUAUAUACAAAACAUGAUUAAAAAAAAAAGUCUAGUCAUUAUCUUUAUCACUUGUUGCCCCCCUAUUGGCUGGUGCCCCAAGACACUCGCCCAAUCCCGUCUAUGGAUAAUCCGGCCUGUACGUUAAGUUACCUGACACGACCAGCUUCUUUCCUUAUCGCUUCUAUUAUGGUAUUCCUUCGAAGAUAUGUUGUAUAGACAUUCGUACUCAACCAGUUUUUCUUCCAUACCGGUUGUCCAAUGUGCUUUUAUGUUGCAAACGUUUUUUGACGCCAUUUCGCCGCUUGUUUACAAUCGCCUGACACAGUCUCCAAGGAAACAGAGAUGUCAUUGGUCGCAAAUAUUACGCUGCCUUCACGUGCUCUCAGCGCUACUGUAAAGAUGACUUUCCUUGAAAAAAAGGAAAGUCACCAGUUCGAAACUUGAAUGUGAUUUGCUCGUAAUCACUACUUCAGAAGUGGGAAUUAUCAAAUUUGAGAAGAAUCUUUGUGAGGAGGACUGGCAAUGACUGUUUCUAAAAUUCUAAGACUAGAAUCUUUAGACGCAGCACACUGCACGAUUUUAAGCACCAACUGUAAACACCGACUGAACGCAACUGGCUCUGACUCGGCGCGAUUGGACAUGAUCAGUCGUAAGUAUCAAAUUACAUUCAUAAUCGGCCUUACAAUCGUUAAAUGUGUGCCCGGCUUUCGACUGGAGCCGAUUUUAAUCGUUGACAGUCGGAGAAGAACACAAACGUUUACGAUUGAGACCGCUGCUAAGCAACACACUGUGCGCAGGAUCUUGAACAUGGAUGUAAACAAACAGCUGUUUGUGCGGAAAAUAACAACAACAACAAAAAAGAGGAAAAACGCGCAGGAUAUGUGUGAGGUCCUGGCUGGCUGGAGAGGCAACAUGGACUUUGUUCUCUACAGAGAGAAUUUGAGAUAUUGCGUGCAGGAUAUGUGUGAGGUCCUGGCUGGAGAGGCAACAUGGACUUUGUUCUCUACAGAGAGAAUUUGAGGUGAGUAAACUUUGUUAAAUUAAUCUAUUUUAAGCGUUGUUAAGCAAGCUGCGAUCCUCAAUUAAGCUUGUUAAGUUGGCUUGAAAAAGCCAACUUACUGAAAUGCUUAUUAAACGUAUUAUUAUUAUUCUUCGUUAAAUGUGUGCCCGGCUUAAGAGAAAACAAAAAAAUACGCUCAAAGAAGUGCGCUGCAUUAUGAAUGUAGAAACGUUCUAAAAGCUUUCUUUAGACGUGACUAUUUUCAGAUUAUAGCACAGAUUAUUGCUUACAUAAACGGUCACUAUAUUCAGAUAUUGUGUGUCCGCGCUCAAACUGUGUCCUGCGCGCUCGCAAAUCUCUCCGUGCUCUUGCACUAGAAAUUAAUUUGCUUCUGAACUAAAUGCUUAUCAAAAGUUAUCAACCAAUCAGAAUAGACGACCGAUCUAUGAAAAUGCUACGUGAAAUCUUAUUGGCUGAGAGUGAACUGCGCCUGGAAUUCUUUCGACAAAAAUGGAUAGUGAGAGGAGAGACAGUUCAUAAGAGAGCACUGUAUAUUUGAGAGCGCACGCCCAGUUUUGUGCGAAAGCAAAGGAAAUCUGUGCAUGAGCGGAGAUAUUUGCACUUGCGCAUUACAUGUAUGUGCUCUCGACAUUUGUCAGUAAAAUAACGCCAUAUUUACCGCUUAAAAUGGAUGUUGUAAUCGUCUUUUCUUCACUAUUGUGAUGGAUAUCCGAGUGAAACGUCUUCUUGAACAAGAAAAAAUAUAGGGCAGGACUUGAUUUUGUCCUUCGGGAAUUGAUUGGAUCAUUGUCGUUAGUGAUGCAAGUGAGUCCCGCCCUUGCACCAGUAAACCCGUCAUCAGAGAUGUCCUUGCAACAGGAAAGGGAAGUUAUUCUGAUUUACUAGUGUUUUAAAAAAGAAUGAUGUGUAGAUAAAUCAUUAUAAAUGCUGCAAUAUUCCAUAAAAAAUAAGAAUUGUCAAUUUUGAUUUCAUGGUGACUAAAUGCUCAAGCACUAGUCCGGUGGAUUCUGAUUGGCUGUAAACUAUCGUUCAUAAGCUGGAAAAAACAAUAGUUCUGAAAGUGGGUCCAGUGAUGUCAUUCUUCUCUGUCAUUAUCGUUAUAGUGUGGACUUCCCUAUUAUAAUAGAAUCAGAACUAUUAUUAAAACUUUAUAUUUAUUGUUACAGUUUGUGUAAACGGGCCUCAGUGAGGAAAUCCACACCACAACUAACACGAUAACAACACAGAAGAACAACAUCAGUACGUGUCAGAAACGUCAGUAUGGUCUGUUGGUCUGGACGCUAAUAUUGUUCUUGGUGUGCACGGACAACUAUCUGCUUAAUAAUCAACAAUUAAUUACAAAAAGAAAAUGAACUUUCAAAAGUAUGCUUUAUUUCCUUACAUAUGACUCCAGGCCGUUUAUUUAGUGAUUUUCUUUACAUAAUGUUUUGAUACUCAUCAGCAUUCAAGUGCAUGAAAUAUCAGCCACACACAUUUUUAGUGUUGAGAAUAAUGAUAAAAAAGUUCAGUCAUUUGCGAUUCACUAAACUAAUGUGGUA